rnacentral:rRNA from 1 species
CUUCCAGGAAAAGCCUCUAAGCUUCAGAUUGUAAGGAAUCGUACCCCAAACCGACACAGGUGGUCGGGUAGAGAAUACCAAGGCGCUUGAGAGAACUCGGGUGAAGGAACUAGGCAAAAUGGUACCGUAACUUCGGGAGAAGGUACGCUCUCGACGGUGAAGUCCCUCGCGGAUGGAGCUAUUGAGAGUCGCAGAUACCAGGUGGCUGCAACUGUUUAUUAAAAACACAGCACUGUGCAAAAUCGUAAGAUGACGUAUACGGUGUGACGCCUGCCCGGUGCCGGAAGGUUAAUUGAUGGGGUUAGACUUCGGUCGAAGCUCUUGAUCGAAGCCCCGGUAAACGGCGGCCGUAACUAUAACGGUCCUAAGGUAGCGAAAUUCCUUGUCGGGUAAGUUCCGACCUGCACGAAUGGCGUAAUGAUGGCCACGCUGUCUCCACCCGAGACUCAGUGAAAUUGAAAUCGCUGUGAAGAUGCAGUGUACCCGCGGCUAGACGGAAAGACCCCGUGAACCUUUACUACAGCUUGGCACUGAACAUUGACCCUACAUGUGUAGGAUAGGUGGGAGGCUUUGAAGCACGUACGCCAGUAUGUGUGGAGCCGUCCUUGAAAUACCACCCUUGUAGUGUUGAUGUUCUAACGUCGACCCCUUAUCGGGGUUGCGGACAGUGCCUGGUGGGUAGUUUGACUGGGGCGGUCUCCUCCCAAAGAGUAACGGAGGAGCACGAAGGUGGGCUAAUCACGGUUGGACAUCGUGAGGUUAGUGCAAUGGCAUAAGCCCGCUUGACUGCGAGAAUGACAAUUCGAGCAGGUGCGAAAGCAGGUCAUAGUGAUCCGGUGGUUCUGAAUGGAAGGGCCAUCGCUCAACGGAUAAAAGGUACUCCGGGGAUAACAGGCUGAUACCGCCCAAGAGUUCAUAUCGACGGCGGUGUUUGGCACCUCGAUGUCGGCUCAUCACAUCCUGGGGCUGAAGUCGGUCCCAAGGGUAUGGCUGUUCGCCAUUUAAAGUGGUACGCGAGCUGGGUUUAGAACGUCGUGAGACAGUUCGGUCCCUAUCUGCCGUGGGCGUUGGAAGAUUGAAGGGGGCUGCUCCUAGUACGAGAGGACCGGAGUGGACGAACCUCUGGUGUUCGGGUUGUGUCGCCAGACGCAUUGCCCGGUAGCUAAGUUCGGAAUCGAUAACCGCUGAAAGCAUCUAAGCGGGAAGCGAGCCCUGAGAUGAGUCUUCCCUGAUACUUUAAGUAUCCUAAAGGGUUGUCGGAGACUACGACGUUGAUAGGUCAGGUGUGUAAGUGCUGUGAGGCAUUGAGCUAACUGAUACUAAUUGCCCGU